rnacentral:rRNA from 1 species
CCUACGGGAGGCUGCAGUGAGGAAUAUUGGUCAAUGGGCGCGAGCCUGAACCAGCCAAGUAGCGUGAAGGAUGAAUGCCCUACGGGUUGUAAACUUCUUUUAUAAAGGAAUCACGUGAUGCACGUGUGCCUUUUUGCAUGUACUUUAUGAAUAAGGGUCGGCUAACUCCGUGCCAGCAGCCGCGGUAAUACGGAGGAGCCGAGCGUUAUCCGGAUUUAUUGGUGUUAAAGGGGGCGGAGAUGGGUUGUUAAGUCAGGUGUGAAAGUUUGCGGCUCAACCGUAAAAUUGCAAUUGAUCCUGGCAGUCUUGAGUACAGUUGAGGUAGGCGGAAUUCGUGGUGUAGCGGUGAAAUGCUUAGAUAUCACGAGGAAAUCCGAUUGCGAAGGCAGCUUACUAAACUGCCACUGACAUUGAUGCUCGAAAGUGUGGGUAUCAAACAGGAGUAGAUACCCCUGUAGUC